UUCUAUGUUCAAAUAUGGUGUGUUCUAGGCCUGAAGGAUCCUAAUCGACCUUUUCCUGCUGGUAUCGGUGAUGCUGCGGGUGUUGGUCUUUUGAAGUGGCGGAUGCAGAGCAUUGAUGAAUCAAUGGUGCCUUUAACAAUUAACUGCUGGCCCUCUGUUUUUGGUAAUGAAACAUAUGUUAGCAUCGAAUAUGAAGCUUCAUCAAUGUUUGAUUUGCGGAAUGUUGUGAUCUCUGUACCUCUCCCUGCUCUUCGCGAGGCUCCAAAUGUCAGACAAGUUGACGGUGAAUGGAGGAUAUUUAUCAUAUCAUGACUGGAAUUUUUGCUGAACUGUACUAGCUCUAUGCUGUUCAAGGUCAGUAUCCAUUUGCAUUGUUUAUGAGUUGCACUAUAUUUUAUUUGAGUUCUGUAUCAAUUUGC